AUACUUAACUGCUAGGGAAGAUAUCGUUAUCAUGAAGAUGGUUUUCCCAGAGGAAGCCACCUCCAUUAUACUCCAGAUGAGCUGACCCUGUGAUUUCUCUAAUGUGGGACGCUUGACUACAUGGUUUGUGGUGGUGGGUGCAUUUACAAUCUACUCU
ensembl:snRNA U1 U1 spliceosomal RNA